rnacentral:tRNA from 1 species
GUGGGGUUGGCAGAGCGGUUGAAUGCGGGGGACUGUAAAUCCCUUCCGAAAGGCACGGUGGUUCAAAUCCAUCACCCCACACCA